AUUUUCCCCAAUGGCNNGAAAGCCUGACGGAGCAAGACCGCGUGAGGGAGGAAGCCCUUGGGUUGUAAACCUCUUUUGUCAGGGAAGAACACAAUGACGGUACCUGACGAAUCANCCUCGGCUAACUCCGUGCCAGCCAGCCGCGGUAAUACGGAGGAGGCAAGCGUUAUCCGGAAUUAUUGGGCGUAAAGCGUCCGCAGGUGGCUUAUCAAGUCUGCCGUCAAAGACCGGGGCUUAACCCUGGAAAGGCGCUGGAAACUGACAAGCUAGAGUGUCGUAGGGGUAGAGGGAAUUCCCGGUGUAGCGGUGAAAUGCGUANAGCUCGGGAAGAACAUCGGUGGCGAAAGCGCUCUACUGGACGGCAACUGACACUCAGGGACGAAAGCUAGGGGAGCGAAUGGGAUUAGAUACCCCAGUAGUCCUAGCCGUAAACGAUGGAUACUAGGUGUGGCUUGUAUCGACCCAAGCCGUGCCGUAGCUAACGCGUUAAGUAUCCCGCCUGGGGAGUACGCACGC
rnacentral:rRNA from 1 species